GCGGUACGAUCCGAUCGACCGUCUGUUGUUUCUCUCUUUCUCUUUUUCUUUCUUUCUCUUUCUUUCUUUUUCUAUAUAUAUAUAUAUACAUUUAUAUAUAUAUAUAUAUAUAUAUAUAUAUAAAUAUCUCUCUCUAUUUCUCUCUGUCUGUCUAUCCGUCUGUCUCCCUGUCUGCCUGUCUGUCUGUCGGUCUGUAUUACAAGUUAUCUGUGUUUGUCUCGUGUGUUCACGUUCACGUUCACGUUCACGUUCACGUUCACGUUCAUGUUCAACGUUGACGUUGGACGGUCUCUCUGCUAUAGUUCUUGAUCUGUUUAGAAGUUUAGAAGUUCUUUCUCGGAUAGAGAAAAGAUUGAUAUAUAUAUAUAUAUAUAUAAAUAUAUAUAUAUGUAUAUAUAUUUAUAUAUAUACGUAUAUAUAUAACGUUGUUCGCCGAGGGAUACUUCAGUAUAUUCAAGAAAUAAUCGAAUCUUGGGAAGGAAAGAAGAAGGAGGAAAAGAAGAGACCGAAGAAAAAAAUAAGAAGAAUAAAGAAGAGGAUAGUGAGAUGAUAAUCGAGGGUGACUAAUUCUCUUAGUGAGAAAUAUCAUUAAAUUUGGACCAUUCGUUUGUUUAUUUACUAUUGGAAACCUUCGUGUGGUAUUGAUUAAUACGACGUGACUGUGUCAACAAUUUUAUCGUGACGUUAUUGACUAUUAUUCUUUCAUAUUUUUGAAAAAAAAAAAAAUAUAUAUAUAUAUAUAUUAUAUAUAGAUAUUAUAUAUGUAUAUUCAUGAAGGAUAAUUUCGAGAAGAAGAAUGGUUGUUGGUUCAUUUUGGUGAGAUUAUAAUAAACACGUGGUGACCCUGAAGUGCCUUUAUAGGAGAAUAUUACAGAAGAAUUAUUUUUCACAUCUUAUUCACCGUGUCAGGAUUAAUUAUUAUUAUCGUCCUAAUCAGCCACGUCAUUUAUU